AUUGAACGCUGGCGGCAUGCCUUACACAUGCAAGUCGAACGGUAACGGGCCUUCGGGUGCCGACGAGUGGCGAACGGGUGAGUAAUAUAUCGGAACGUACCUUUCAGUGGGGGAUAACGUAGCGAAAGUUACGCUAAUACCGCGUAUUCUGUGCGCAGGAAAGCAGGGGACCUUCGGGCCUUGCGCUGAUUGAGCGGCCGAUAUCAGAUUAGCUAGUUGGUGAGGUAAAGGCUCACCAAGGCGACGAUCUGUAGCGGGUCUGAGAGGAUGAUCCGCCACACUGGAACUGAGACACGGUCCAGACUCCUACGGGAGGCAGCAGUGGGGAAUUUUGGACAAUGGGGGCAACCCUGAUCCAGCCAUGCCGCGUGAGUGAAGAAGGCCUUCGGGUUGUAAAGCUCUUUCGGCCGGGAAGAAAUCGUAUGGGCUAAUACCCUGUGCGGAUGACGGUACCGGCAUAAGAAGCACCGGCUAACUACGUGCCAGCCGCCGCCGUAA
rnacentral:rRNA from 1 species